GUGACGUUGGCCGUUGUGAUUCCUACCUUAAGUCGAGCGAAUGGAUUAAGAGCUUGCUCUUAUGAAGUUAGCGGCGGACGGGUGAGUAACACGUGGGUAACCUGCCCAUAAGACUGGGAUAACUCCGGGAAACCGGGGCUAAUACCGGAUAACAUUUUGAACCGCAUGGUUCGAAAUUGAAAGGCGGCUUCGGCUGUCACUUAUGGAUGGACCCGCGUCGCAUUAGCUAGUUGGUGAGGUAACGGCUCACCAAGGCAACGAUGCGUAGCCGACCUGAGAGGGUGAUCGGCCACACUGGGACUGAGACACGGCCCAGACUCCUACGGGAGGCAGCAGUAGGGAAUCUUCCGCAAUGGACGAAAGUCUGACGGAGCAACGCCGCGUGAGUGAUGAAGGCUUUCGGGUCGUAAAACUCUGUUGUUAGGGAAGAACAAGUGCUAGUUGAAUAAGCUGGCACCUUGACGGUACCUAACCAGAAAGCCACGGCUAACUACGUGCCAGCAGCCGCGGUAAU
rnacentral:rRNA from 1 species